rnacentral:rRNA from 1 species
AUUGAACGCUGGCGGCAUGCUUUACACAUGCAAGUCGAACGGUAACAGGCCUUCGGGCGCUGACGAGUGGCGAACGGGUGAGUAAUGCAUCGGAACGUGCCCAGUCGUGGGGGAUAACUAUCCGAAAGGAUAGCUAAUACCGCAUACGAUCUGCGGAUGAAAGCGGGGGACCUUCGGGCCUCGCGCGAUUGGAGCGGCCGAUGUCAGAUUAGGUAGUUGGGGGGGUAAAGGCUCACCAAGCCAACGAUCUGUAGCUGGUCUGAGAGGACGACCAGCCACACUGGGACUGGGACACGGCCCAGACUCCUACGGGAGGCAGCAGUGGGGAAUUUUGGACAAUGGGCGCAAGCCUGAUCCAGCAAUGCCGCGUGCAGGAAGAAGGCCUUCGGGUUGUAAACUGCUUUUGUCAGGGAAGAAAUCUUCUGGGCUAAUACCCCGGGAGGAUGACGGUACCUGAAGAAUAAGCACCGGCUAACUACGUGCCAGCCGCCGCGGUAACAC